GAGUAUAAGCCAAUGGAGCUUGGAAGGCUUCCGCAGAUGGUGUCCACCAUACGUGGUGUUCUUAAGACCUUGAGUCUCGCUCGUCAGGCGUAGCAUUGAGUUUGCCAGGUUAGCUGUCGUGCGGGGGUUCGGCUUGGAAGUCUCAGGCUUCGGCCGAAGGGCUUCCGGCUGUCCCCUUUUGAAUGGACGUUCAGAGCUCUUGUGUCUAAUGCGGUUAUGCCCACCACAGCACGUUGCGAGGUCACCCACAGGCUCAAACUGCCGAUCGCGUGUCCAGGACGAUGGCAACGAUGCGUUGUUGGCGCGUGUGCGGGAGCGAGUCUCUCCACGCCGUCACACGCGUGUCUAGUCCUGGGUCGGGCGGCGACCGAGAUAAACCUGGUACGAUCCUCUUGCGACGAGCUGCUUUCUGGCCAGACCGACGCCCAGGCGCCUCCACUGUGCCGGAGGCGUCAAUCCCAGGCGGUGUGAACCCAGCUGCAUUAUGCAAGGUCUCUCAGCCGGGCGUUGGUCUGAGUGGUGUCAAGUCCAGCACCAUCGGUCACGUCUCGAAACACGGGCCAAGGAGUAUAGCAUGUGUGCAAGUCUAAGGGUCUCACAAAACCCGAAGGCGAAGUGAAAGCAAGACUGUGGCGGGGGAGCCACGGCAAACCCGCCGGCCUAGUGCGGCGCCUCGUGCGUCGCCUGGCUUCAAGCAGAGCUGAUCCUGUUUUCUCUGUUAAUUCUUGGUGCAGGCGCAAGCUCCGGGCUCACGUACAACACUGGUGACGCCUCGCGCGUGGCUGUGUUGUGAGC
rnacentral:rRNA from 1 species